ACGGGGUAGUAAUGUGUCGGAACGUGCCCAGAGGACGGGGAUAGCGGCGGGAAACUGCCGGUAAUACCCGAUGAUCUCGAGAGAGCAAAGGUGUGAUUCCGCCUUUGGAGCGGCCGACAUGGUAUUAGCUAGUUGGCGGGGUAACGGCCCACCAAGGCUGUGAUGCCUAGGGGAUGUGAGAGCAUGAUCCCCACCAUUGGGACUGAGACACUGCCCAGACACCUACGGGUGGCUGCAGUCGAGAAUCUUCGUCAAUGGGCGAAAGCCUGAACGAGCGACGCCGCGUGCGGGAUGAAGGCCCUUGGGUUGUAAACCGCUGUCGAGGGGGAUGAAGGCAUUCAGGUACUCCUGAAUGUUUGACAGAGCCCUGGAGGAAGCACGGGCUAAGUUCGUGCCAGCAGCCGCGGUAAUACGAACUGUGCGAACGUUAUUCGGAAUCACUGGGCUUACAGGGUGCGUAGGCGGCCCAACAAGUCAGGUGUGAAAGCCCUCGGCUCAACCGAGGAACUGCGCUUGAAACUGUUAGGCUCGAGUCAGCUAGAGGUACACGGAACUUCCAGUGGAGCGGUGAAAUGUGUUGA
rnacentral:rRNA from 1 species